UACAGAGGGUGCAAACGUUGUUCGGAAUUACUGGGCGUAAAGCGCGUGUAGGCGGCUACGCAAGUCGGAUGUGAAAUCCCGCGGCUCAACCGUGGAAGUGCACUCGAUACUGCGAAGCUAGAGUCCUGGAGAGGAAGGCGGAAUGCUUGGUGUAGAGGUGAAAUUCGUAGAUAUCAAGCGGAACACCAGUGGCGAAGGCGGCCUUCUGGACAGUGACUGACGCUGAGACGCGAAAGCGUGGGGAGCAAACAGG
rnacentral:rRNA from 1 species